ensembl:lincRNA
CAGAAGCUCUGCUCUCUGAGCAAAAAAGCCAGGCUGGGAUUUCCAGGACAGAGGCCCAGACCGCACCAUGCCCCGCUUCCCGCCUCUGCCUGUUCCGUGGGACCCCACUCUCGGCUCCGCGGUCCCCGGGGGCAGGGACAGCGCCACGCACCCCUGACCCCAGCCCCGGCUGAGCGCCCCUCGCGCGCGCCCUGGGACCCUGGGCGACACCCCUGGAGCAGCUGGCGCCCAAACCCCGCGCAGCAAGACCGCGGAUACUUAGGAGACUGCGUUUGUGUUAGUUUUGUUUUUCUUUUUUGUUGCAGCCAAGAAUGGGACCUGGGUUUAAUUCCCGCGCCCCCUGCCAGGCAGCCCCACCGCCACCCCAGGACUCUGAGCCUCGGGUGGAAAAAGCCAAAGUCUCCAGCGCCGGGCUGCGGGGCGCCGAGGGGACGCGCGUGGGGACCCCCGUCCCGGCCACCGCUGUCCCGCCCGGUCCCUCCCCAGCCGGACCCAGAUCGGCGGCGGCGCCUCUUACCGGAGGGUGCGCGCAGCGAGGGACCUUGAGUCUUGGGGAACUCGGCACCAGCACCCCAGCUGCGCACGCCGGCAGACUUCUGCCCAGUAUUGGUAUCGGUCUCGGGUUCCACCUGCGGCAUUGGAGACAGGAUUUUCUGUGAUUUGCAACAAACCUGAUUAAAGGAAUUCUAACUAAAAUAAAGUGUAAACUUCUCUCGAUUUUUACCCAUAGAUCCAUUCUAGGAAAUUUCAGUACAUUCUCCAAACCAUUUCACAAUGCUUAACGUUUCUUAGCAUCAGAGCUGAAACGACUGAUUUUACCAAAAAGAAAAAAAAAUUGUAACAUAACUGAGUAUAGGGGGAAGAGGUGGGGCAUCAGAAACUUGCAUGGGACCCGGGAUGGCGCUGGGCACAGAGCUCAGGAUACUGGCACCCUAAGUCGGGUCUCAAAAUUCGUGACCAAAAUACCCCAACACCACCACGCGUCUUCCCUGGACAAUAAACACCUCACAGUAUUCAGGACCGUGAGUGGCAAAAGUUAUUUUGGGGUGCACAAAGCACCACUCUCGGUAAGAAUGUACUAAUUUGUAUCUGGUUUUUCCCCCAGAUCCAUUUUAUUUCAAGGAGAAGAGGAAGAGGAAGAGGAGAAGAAGGAGAAAGAGAAGCAGGAGAAAGAAGAAGAAGAAGAGGAAGAGGAAGAAACUAAAAAUUUCAAAACACAUCAAUUAGAGGACAACAGUGGACACUAUCUGUUUUCCAUGCGUUGCUCUGCGGUAUUUUUUUUAAGCACCUACCUCCUAGGAUCCUUGAAAAUGUGAGUUAAUCCAUGAAAGUGAUCGGUACUGUACCUGGCACAGACUUAGUAUUUGGUAGCAGCCAGUACUGCGGCAGUUGGAAUUAUGUUAUUGCUGUGGUUUAAUGGGGGCCCACUCCAAAACCCACAGUGAAAUUUUAUUGCCAUUGUUAGGGCACUAAAAGGUGGUGUGUGCCCAUCGUCGGGGUUGGGUUGUUGCCCAGCUAAAGGGUGAAUUCAGCUCCAUGUCCCCUGCCUCCCUCCCUGCCCUACCGUCUGCCCCGGGUCUGCUGGGUGACUUUGUGGAAGGAGGCCCUCAGCAGGCACCAGCCACCUGACCCUGGCAGACUUCUCCAGUGUUGCCAACCGAUAGUCUCUGUCCAUUCUAAAUUGCCCAUCCCACCUGCUGUGCUGCAGUGGCACAGGGCAUGGUGGCUGGGGUGACCCAUUCAGGGGCAGGUGUUACACUGAGCACAAACAUCCCUGCCCUAUGACAAAUGGAAGAGUAAGUAUCGGCCCACGGUGUGUGAAUUACUGGACCCCACUUCUCAAAGGGGAGAGGUAACCGAGAUGUGGGAAAGGGGGCUCUUCACUGACUGGGUAGUGACGAUGCACUGCAGAGUUGACACUGAACCUGACAGUGGGAUCCUGGGGAAACAGCAGUCUUUCUUCUGAGAACACCAGCUCCCACUGUCUGGUUAACCUUCAACUGAAUUGUUUUUUUAAGACAAGGUCUUGCUAUGUAGUUCCUGGCUGGCCUUAAACUCACAGAGAUCCUCCUGCCUCAGCCUCCUGAGAGCUGGGAUUUAAAGCAUGUGCUUCCACACCUGGCUAGUUAGCCUUCAGUAUCCUGGCCCAGUACCUGCUACCCUUCAUUUUGUGCAGCCCUGCCACAGGCUGCCUUGCACUUCACUCCCAGUUACUCAACCCACACUUGGAUUGAGGCCAGCAGAACCCACAUCCCCCAGGCAGGAACACACACACACAUUUGCCAUUCCCAAAGAAACUGAGUCUGCUGCAGCUACACCCACCUGUAAGAAAUCCUCACGGGAGAUCUACCUGCAGGUUGAAAUGAAGACCUUAAGACAAUAAAUCAAAGCUUGUGAAGAAAUAAAGAUGUCAAGAAAGGUAAAUGCAGGGGCAAUUAUAAAAGAUUUUAUAACAGUGUAACAAUAAAAGUUAUUGCGAUCAUGGCUUGUAAUUUGACUUGUUGUUUUCCACGUGAU